CUUAGUCCUCGGGGCCGCAGCCGCGCUGUUAGAAGUUAGCGAGAGCGUUCUCCUGCCGGUGCACAGGCCCGGGCCUCGUCCGGAGCAUUUGCCAUCUCGGGUUUAAAUAGAGCCGUAGGAGGGAGUACUUGUGGAAUUUUGCUGUCACAUGUGAAGGAUUCCACUUGCAUUCAGCAGCUGCUGCAGUUUUACUGCCUCUUGUUGGAGAUCACCAAGCCCACGGCAGAACUGGCAUCUCCCCAUCUGUUUCAUGGCAAAGGAUGACAUCUUCGUUCAGCUCCCCCCGCCCGGCAUUAGUGUUUUAAACUGAGAUACUGACUUUGCAUUUGAAGCAGCUGACGAAUGAACACCUCCUCUUCUGCUGGCCCUGCUAUAGCGAUGGUUACUUCUGUCGGACAAGUAAAGCAGACGGCCAGAGUCAACAGUAUCUUAUAGUGAGGUUUGAUGUGUUUUUACAGGAAAAAUAAAAAUCUCUAGUUUAAAUACUGGUUUAUAAUGCCCUCCCUAGGAUGUACUGUGUACUGUUUCUGCUCUCCCCCUUCCUUCCCUGGUUCUGUUCUUCAGCAUACCUCCUUUCCUCAGACUGUCCUUUUUCAUGCUGCUGUUUCUUUCGCGCUUCUCUGUCAUUGGCACCUGGGCAUAUUCUUAUGUGUUUCUUCUUGCCUAGGCAAGUUCUUGCUCUUUCAUGUGAGUUAGGUCACUCCGUUUCUGUCCUCAGCGCUCCUGGAUGAUGGCAAGAACGAGCCCAGAGCAUGGUAGGGCAUUUCUUCUCUCUUGCCCAAUUUAAAAAAAAAAAUUUGCAACUUUUGUUCAGCACAGAGGGACUUUUCGGUGACCUUGCUCUUAGCCUCUUAACAACGUAUGGCUUGAGUUUUCUAACACUAAAUGCUACUGGGGCAAUAAAAAUGCACUCUUAACCUUAGAUGGAUACCCAGCAAAGUUCAAAUUACUGUUCAAAAGCACUGGAACUUCCUAAUUAAACAUUUCUAGUCUGUCUUCUUUCAGCAAAAUAAUAUGCUUCUUGCGUCUUGUCCUCAUAGAUCGCACUCAUUUCACUUUGACUUGAAGCAAGGAUGUAACAGUAAAAGUUUUGCCGUCUACUCCCCCCACAUGUCCAUACUGUCACAAAGUAUUAAAGGGGGAAAUUUGGAUAUCCUUUAUGAG